GUGUGUCUCCCUUCUGCACUCGUAAAACGAAACUAAGGUCAAGUUUGCUAUCCAUAUUUAUAUAUAAACAAGAUGUAAGUCUAGUCAAUUUCACUUCGUAAAAUUCGACUUUUGUCUUAAAACUCAGGCUUUGUGUAAUCCUAUUUUUGUAUGUAUUAAUCAUUCAGGGAAGAAAAAACAUGUCAAACGUAUGCAAUAAUCUGUCCAAAUGAGGAAGGAAAAACUGGUAUAUUUAGGACAAACAGGCGAUACACUGUAUCAAAGGAUGUUGCUGAACUUUUAAAACAUAAGAACAAACAAAACAGACAAUCCAGUGGCAACCCACUUGAUUCAACAUAAUCAUUAGAUUAAAAUUCUAAGGGGAACUGCAGCGAAAAGAGUAUAUGGCUCAGAAAUUUACCGAAAAAUUAAAGAAACCUUAUGGAUCAAAUUAUUAAAAACUUAACAUCGUGACGGACUGAACACUUUGUACGAACGAUAUUGAAAAAAAUAUGAAAAAAGAAAAAGUGCGGCAAAUGAACGUCAUAUAAGUUAUUGUAACGAAAUGAACAUGUAUCAAAGCGAUGUAAUUGUUGUUUACAUUUUAAGUGAUUACUGAGAUCUUGCUGUGCAAUUACUAUCAUGCCUUAGUCUUUGUCUAUGAAAUAACUUUAUACAUUGGAGUUAUCUUCCCGUGCAUUUUGUUGCAAUUUAAAACUG
rnacentral:lncRNA from 1 species